UACGUAGGGUGCGAGCGUUGUCCGGAAUUAUUGGGCGUAAAGGGCUCGUAGGCGGUCAGUCGCGUCUGCUGUGAAAACUCGGGGCUUAACUCCGGGCCUGCAGUGGGUACGGGCUGACUAGAGUGCGGUAGGGGAGACUGGAAUUCCUGGUGUAGCGGUGAAAUGCGCAGAUAUCAGGAGGAACACCGGUGGCGAAGGCGGGUCUCUGGGCCGUAACUGACGCUGAGGAGCGAAAGCGUGGGGAGCGAACAGG
rnacentral:rRNA from 1 species